rnacentral:tRNA from 1 species
UCCCAGGUGGCACCGUGGUAAAGAAUCCGCCUGCCAAGCAGGAGACCCAGGUUCAAUCCCUGGAUUGGGAA